rnacentral:rRNA from 1 species
GGGGAUAACACUUGGAAACAGGUGCUAAUACCGCAUAACCAUAGUUACCGCAUGGUAACUAUGUAAAAGGUGGCUAUGCUACCGCUUUUGGAUGGGCCCGCGGCGCAUUAGCUAGUUGGUGGGGUAAAGGCUUACCAAGGCAAUGAUGCGUAGCCGAACUGAGAGGUUGAUCGGCCACAUUGGGACUGAGACACGGCCCAAACUCCUACGGGAGGCAGCAGUAGGGAAUCUUCCACAAUGGGCGAAAGCCUGAUGGAGCAACGCCGCGUGGGUGAAGAAGGUCUUCGGAUCGUAAAACCCUGUUGUUAGAGAAGAAAGUGCGUGAGAGUAACUGUUCACGUUUCGACGGUAUCUAACCAGAAAGCCACGGCUAACUACGUGCCAGCAGCCGCGGUAAUACGUAGGUGGCAAGCGUUAUCCGGAUUUAUUGGGCGUAAAGGGGACGCAGGCGGUCUUUUAAGUCUGAUGUGAAAGCCUUCGGCUUAACCGGAGUAGUGCAUUGGAAACUGGGAGACUUGAGUGCAGAAGAGGAGAGUGGAACUCCAUGUGUAGCGGUGAAAUGCGUAGAUAUAUGGAAGAACACCAGUGGCGAAAGCGGCUCUCUGGUCUGUAACUGACGCUGAGGUUCGAAAGCGCGGGUAGCAAACAGGAUUAGAUACCCUGGUAGUCCACGCCGUAAACGAUGAA